CCUGAAUUCGAAAGGGAUUGGAUUCAAGUCCUACCGAGCGUGGGGACGUCCGCGCCAGAUGGCGCCGGUCGCCCGCGGCGAUUUGUUUCGCUUGCGGUGUCGUUCCCGGCGAUCACUCGGCCGCGCGACAGUUUCCCCCUGCGCCGGAGGGGUGCACUUCCUCCCUAGUAGAAACGUCGCGACCCGUUGGGUGCCGGUCUCAAGGCCCGGGAUGGCAGACCGCGCGUCCCGUGGGGGUCCUCCCCACGGGCGCGCGGACUCCCGGUGACCCGGCCGGCUGCCCGACGGUAGGACCAGAGGGGUCGAUCCGCUACCUGUGAAACACUUUGGUUUGUGUAGCGUCCGGCCCGGCGCCGAGGCGUGCGGGGAUUGAGGUGCAAACCGGGGGUGCCCGUGCUAAGCACGGCCCCGGCCCCGCCGCGUCCUCGGAUACGUCGGAGUCCUCGGACCGGAUCAGCACUCCCGUCCGCGACGCCCACCUUCGGAUGGUCUCCCG
rnacentral:rRNA from 1 species